GUGCCAGCAGCCGCGGUAAUACGUAGGGUCCAAGCGUUAAUCGGAAUUACUGGGCGUAAAGCGUGCGCAGGCGGUUUGCUAAGACAGGUGUGAAAUCCCCGGGCUCAACCUGGGAACUGCGCUUGUAACUAGCAGGCUAGAGUGCGGCAGAGGGGGGUGGAAUUCCACGUGUAGCAGUGAAAUGCGUAGAGAUGUGGAGGAACACCGAUGGCGAAGGCAGCCCCCUGGGUCGACACUGACGCUCAUGCACAAAAGCGUGGGGAGCAAACAGGAUUAGAAACCCUGGUAGUCC
rnacentral:rRNA from 1 species